GACGAACGCUGGCGGCGUGCUUAACACAUGCAAGUCGAACGAAAAGACGGAAAGAGCUUGCUCUUUUCAGAAUUGAGUGGCAAACGGGUGAGUAACACGUAAACAACCUGCCUUCAGGAUGGGGACAACAGACGGAAACGACUGCUAAUACCGAAUAAGUUCCAAGAGCCGCAUGGCCCAUGGAAGAAAAGGUGGCCUCUACCUGUAAGCUAUCGCCUGAAGAGGGGUUUGCGUCUGAUUAGCUGGUUUGGAGGGGUAACGGCCCACCAAGGCGACGAUCAGUAGCCGGUCUGAGAGGAUGAACGGCCACACUGGAACUGAGACACGGUCCAGACUCCUACGGGAGGCAGCAGUGGGGAAUUCUUUCCGCAAUGGGCGAAAAGCCUGACGGA
rnacentral:rRNA from 1 species